rnacentral:rRNA from 1 species
UACGGAGGGUGCAAGCGUUAUCCGGAAUCACUGGGUUUAAAGGGUGCGUAGGCGGUUAUGUAAGUCAGUUGUGAAAUACCCCGGCUUAACCGGCGGGACUGCGAUUGAUACUGCGUAACUUGAAUGAGGUUGAGGUAGGCGGAAUGUGGCAUGUAGCGGUGAAAUGCAUAGAUAUGCCAUAGAACACCGAUUGCGAAGGCAGCUUGCUGGACCUUCAUUGACGCUGAGGCACGAAAGCGUGGGGAGCAAACAGG